UCCCUCUUCAGCACCCUUGCGCACCGCACUGAUACCGGAGCCGGAAGAUGACGUCAUCUUCCGGCUCCGGUAUCAGUACGCGGCUCGCGAGGGAGCUGAAGA